rnacentral:lncRNA from 1 species
GAGUCAGAGGCGAUUCCUGGAGCUCUCCCUCGGGGUCAGAACAGCCCGCUAGUAUGCCCCUGCGGUCUCUACGCGGAGCAGAUCUCAGGGACGUCGUUUACAGCUCCUCGCAAGCUCAAUCAACGGAGUUGGCUCUAUAGGAUCAAGCCUUCGGUGACGCACGAGCCGUUCCACCCUCGUAUCCAGGAUCAAGCCUUCGGUGACGCACGAGCCGUUCCAGCCUCGGAUCCCCGUUCACGGGAAGCUCGUAAGCGAGUUCAACUGCUCCAACAGCGUCACCACCCCGACUCAGCUCCGAUGGAAGCCUGUGGAGAUCCCUGAUUCUCCCACUGAUUUUAU